CAGGUGGGUUCCGUGAGGGAGCGAUGGUGGGACGCGUUGUUAUGAAUCAGAGCGAAAUGUCCUCAUUUGUGUGUCUUAUCCUCACAAAAAGACCCCAAUUCUCACCUAAAUAUUCACAUCUGUGUAUCCUCUCUUCAUAAGACCCAAAUUCCCACAUCUAUGUGUCAUCUCUUCAUAAACAAGGCCCAAAUUUCCACCUAAAUACCCACAUCUGUGUGUCCUCUUCCUAAAUAACACCCAAAUUCCCACCUAAACACCCAAAUUUGUCUAUUUUCUCUUCAUAAGACCCCAAAUUCC
rnacentral:lncRNA from 1 species